AGUGACUCAGGUGAAUGGAAAGUUUUGGUCCAGAUUCAUUGGCAUCCCCAAAAAAUGAGCCUUGAAAACAGGGAAUACCAAUUAAAGAAUAAUGUCUACUGUGAGCAACUCAACAAAUAUAUUUGGCAAGAAUGUCCUGUUGGGAAAGCUGAGAGGCAGAAACUACUCAACCAAAAGGGCUGUGUUAUUUGGAUUACGGGUCUUAGCGGAUCAGGGAAAAGUACACUGGCAUGCUCACUAAGUAGAGAACUGCAUUUAAGGGGAAAGCUGUCAUAUAUCCUUGAUGGUGAUAACCUUCGACAUGGUUUCAAAGCAGAAGACAGGACUGAAAAUAUUCGCAGAGUUGGGGAGGUAGCAAAAUUGUUUGCGAACGCAGGAUUGAUCCGUAUUGCUAGUCUGAUAAUCUCCUUAUAGGAAAGACAGUGAUGCUUGUCGUGCAAUGCUAUCAGAUGCAAAUUUUAUCGAGGUUUACAUGAACAUGCCCGUCGAGUUAUGCGAGUCAAGGGAUGCAAAAGGUCUUUACUAGCUUGCACGUGAGGGAAAGAUUAAAUGUUUUACUGGAAUAGAUGAUCCAUAUGAACAACCACUAAACUGUGAGAUAGAAAUACAGCAAAAUAAUGGAGUUUGUCCCAUGCCUGCAGACCUGGCAGGCCGGGUAGUGACAUACUUGGGAGGAGAAAGGCUUUCUUCAAGUUGAGUGA